CCUACGGGAGGCAGCAGUGGGGGAUAUUGCACAAUGGGGGAAACCCUGAUGCAGCGACGCCGCGUGUGGGAAGACGGUCCUCUGGAUUGUAAACCACUGUCCCCAGGGACGAAGAUGACGGUACCUGGGGAGGAAGCUCCGGCUAACUACGUGCCAGCAGCCGCGGAAAUACGUAGGGAGCGAGCGUUGUCCGGAAUUACUGGGUGUAAAGGGAGCGUAGGCGGGACUGCAAGUUGGGUGUCAAAUCUACCGGCUCAACCGGUAGCCGCACUCAAAACUGCAGUUCUUGAGUGAAGUAGAGGCAGGCGGAAUUCCUAGUGUAGCGGUGAAAUGCGUAGAUAUUAGGAGGAACACCAGUGGCGAAGGCGGCCUGCUGGGCUUUUACUGACGCUGAGGCUCGAAAGUGUGGGGAGCAAACAGGAUUAGAUACCCUGGUAGUC
rnacentral:rRNA from 1 species